CAGGCAGGGCAGAGUGAGCCUCCUUCUUAAGGGCCCUGAAAUUUUUGCGAUGAUACAUGAGCACUGGCUUCAACUUAAAGUGGCAGCUGCCUUAGCCCCCAACAAGAAGUACUAAAGAGUUCUGCAGAAAACAGUUGAUGCUAGAUCAAGUGUGCGUGACAGUUGAUCAAGGACAAUCAAAUGGGGACAAAGACACGAAAGUUAUAACAACAGAGCCGGCUGUGCAGAGACCAGCAGGACAGCGAGCACCGAUGAGCGCUGGACGCCAGCGUGCUGAGCCCUGAGGCUGAAGGGCCCCUGGCCUGGCGGAGACCCGAGGAGGCCGUGCAGCUGAGCAGCAGCAGGAGCAGGGCCUGGAGACGCGAUGAGAGGCUGGCAGGACCCGGUCAGUCCAGAAACUCGCGGGCGAGGGCUCCUCACCAGACUCACCUCGGGGUUUCACGACAGUAGGAGGUCCGUGCAGACAGCUGGAGUACCAAAAGUUUGUUUCCGUCGUCACUCCUGCUUGAAUGUGAAGUGGUGUGUGAUCAUCAUCUCACAGAGGAGAAGGCGAGUUAAUAAGUAGUAUUCGUGGGGUAAAAUCCCGGAGAAUUAG